rnacentral:rRNA from 1 species
GCUAAGUCAGGCAACGAGCGAGACCCACGCCAACAGUUGCCAGCAUGUCCUCCGGGAUGAUGGGGACACUGUUGGGACCGCUCUGCUAAAGAGGAGGAAGGAAUGGGCAACGGUAGGUCAGCAUGCCCCGAAUUAUCCGGGCUACACGCGGGCUACAAUGGUCAGGACAAUGGGUAUCGACACCGAGAGGUGGAGGCAAUCUCCUAAACCUGUCCUUAGUUCGGAUUGUGGGCUGCAACUCGCCCACAUGAAGCUGGAAUCCGUAGUAAUCGCGUUUCAAAAUAGCGCGGUGAAUAUGUCCCUGCUCCUU